GAUGAAGAACGCAGCGAAAUGCGAUAAGUAAUGUGAAUUGCAGAAUUUAGUGAAUCAUCGAAUCUUUGAACGCAUAUUGCGCCCGCCAGCACUCUGGCGGGCAUGCCUGUUCGAGCGUCAUUUGUACCUUCAAGCUCUGCUUGGUGUUGGGUGUUUGUCUCGCCUCUGCGUGUAGACUCGCCUCAAAACAAUUGGCAGCCGGCGUAUUGAUUUCGGAGCGCAGUACAUCUCGCGCUUUGCACUCAUAACGACGACGUCCAAAAGUACAUUUUUACACUCUUGACCUCGGAUCAGGUAGGGAUACCCGCUGAACUUAAGCAUAUCAAUAAGCGGAGGA
rnacentral:misc_RNA from 1 species